rnacentral:rRNA from 1 species
GAUGAACGCUGGCGGCGUGCCUAAUACAUGCAAGUCGAGCGAACAGACGAGGAGCUUGCUCCUCUGACGUUAGCGGCGGACGGGUGAGUAACACGUGGAUAACAUACCUAUAAGACUGGGAUAACUUCGGGAAACCGGAGCUAAUACCGGAUAAUAUAUUGAACCGCAUGGUUCAAUAGUGAAAGACGGUUUUGCUGUCACUUAUAGAUGGAUCCGCGCCGCAUUAGCUAGUUGGUAAGGUAACGGCUUACCAAGGCAACGAUGCGUAGCCGACCUGAGAGGGUGAUCGGCCACACUGGAACUGAGACACGGUCCAGACUCCUACGGGAGGCAGCAGUAGGGAAUCUUGCGCAAUGGGCGAAAGCCUGACGGAGCAACGCCGCGUGAGUGAUGAAGGUCUUCGGAUCGUAAAACUCUGUUAUUAGGGAAGAACAAAUGUGUAAGUAACUAUGCACGUCUUGACGGUACCUAAUCAGAAAGCCACGGCUAACUACGUG